GUUCGGUUGUAGGUCGUCAUGCCGUGGACUGGGAAUGGAAGUGUUUGUUGGGAAGCCCAGCAGAACAGGACAACAGGAAAUACAAGAACAACAUUUAACAUUGGGUGGCUUUUUGGUGCUUCAGCUGUUACUUCAAAAAGGUGAAGCCAGGAGGAUGUGAAACAAUGUGGUUAGUGGAAUCACCUGCACUGAAGAACUCAGAGACUUGAAUAGGGUAUAAAGAUGACAAAUCACUCAAGUCUCAAUGCUGGUAUUUUAUCAAAAGCUUGAAUGAAUAUCAAGGCUGAGGACAACGGAGAAAGAUGAGGCUCAGAAGAGCAGUCGUUGUGUGACAACACAAGCUGGACAGAUUCUUCCAUGUUUACUCCACUGCUUAACACUUUACUGCAUUUAACAGUCUCAUACAAAUCAGGUAUUCACAGGCAAAGUACAACAUUAUUUGUUCUGAGUAAAGGGAGGAGAAUCUACGAGGAGGAUGCAUGGUGGUAUACUCUUUAUGGAACUGUGAGAUUUUGCUUUAAUCCUAGCCUUGCUCCCAGCUAUGAGCGUCAUUUUUUGAUGCA